rnacentral:tRNA from 1 species
UCCCUGGUGGUCCAGUGACUAAGACUGCUCUGCACUGCCAAUGCAGGAGGCCCAGGUUCAACUCCUGGGCAGGGAA